rnacentral:misc_RNA from 1 species
CUGGGUACAGCUUGCGGUCGCUGUCGCGGAUCUUGCCUUCCUUCUUCGUGCGGACCCGCUCGCUGGGCACGACGAUCCGGCCGACGUGGGUUUCCAGGCCCUCGAUCUUGACCUUGCGCUGCAACGCCUCACGCACGCGGUCUUCUUUGUUGCUGGCCACUCGGAGCGUGAAAAAUCGCAUAGGUGCCGCCGGUCGCUCUCUUCGUAAGUGCGGGCAGGCCCGCGUGUGUGGGGGUCAAGGGCCGGGUUUACUGGCCGAAGACCUGCUGCC